rnacentral:rRNA from 1 species
UACAGAGGUCCCGAGCGUUGUUCGGAUUCACCGGGCGUAAAGGGUGCGUAGGUGGCAUGGUAAGUUUGAUGUGAAAGCUCAGGGCUUAACCCUGAAAUGGCAUUGAAUACUACUGUGCUGGAGGUUUGGAGGGGGGACUGGAAUUCUUGGUGUAGCAGUGAAAUGCGUAGAUAUCAAGAGGAACACCAAUUGCGAAGGCAGCUUACUACGGAUUGAUUGACACUGAGGCACGAAAGCGUGGGGAUCAAACAAG